rnacentral:rRNA from 1 species
UACGAAGGGGGCUAGCGUUGCUCGGAAUCACUGGGCGUAAAGCGCACGUAGGCGGAUUGUUAAGUCAGGGGUGAAAGCCUGGAGCUCAACUCCAGAACUGCCCUUGAUACUGGCAAUCUCGAGUCCGGAAGAGGUAAGUGGAACUCCGAGUGUAGAGGUGAAAUGCGUAGAUAUUCGGAAGAACACCAGUGGCGAAGGCGGCUGACUGGUCCGGUACUGACGCUGAGGUGCGAAAGCGUGGGGAGCAAACAGG